GACGAACGCUGGCGGCGUGCCUAAUACAUGCAAGUUGAGCGCUGAAGGUUGGUACUUGUACCAACUGGAUGAGCAGCGAACGGGUGAGUAACGCGUGGGGAAUCUGCCUUUGAGCGGGGGACAACAUUUGGAAACGAAUGCUAAUACCGCAUAAAAACUUUAAACACAAGUUUUAAGUUUGAAAGAUGCAAUUGCAUCACUCAAAGAUGAUCCCGCGUUGUAUUAGCUUGUUGGUGAGGUAAAGGCUCACCAAGGCGAUGAUACAUAGCCGACCUGAGAGGGUGAUCGGCCACAUUGGGACUGAGACACGGCCCAAACUCCUACGGGAGGCAGCAGUAGGGAAUCUUCGGCAAUGGACGAAAGUCUGACCGAGCAACGCCGCGUGAGUGAAGAAGGGUGUCGGAUCGUAAAACUCUGUUGGUAGAGAAGAACGUUGGUGAGAGUGGAAAGCUCAUCAAGUGACGGUAACUACCCAGAAAGGGACGGCUAACUACGUG
rnacentral:rRNA from 1 species